rnacentral:rRNA from 1 species
AUGGAUCAAUCCAUCCCUUUUUCCCGUGCAUAUGCAUCGGACUCGGAUGACGAUGGUCCUGAUGAAGAAGUUGAUGAGGAGGGGUUCACACCGAAGGAGGCCGAAGCAUUCAAGAAGGUAUUCGGGCGGGAUCACAAGACACCAUUGUUCAAGGAUCUUAGUCUCGCGGAUGAAGCCGUUGUGGAUGGUGGAAAAUGCAUAUCUCUUGGAGCUAGGCCAAGUUCUCAUCGUGAUUUGGAAGACGGCAAGAACGGGAUAUAUCCCGGUUGCGCUGCAACCCUGGACAUUUAUUAG